GAAGGGCAGCUUUCUGGAUCAUUACUGACACUGAGGAACGAAAGCAUGGGUAGCGAAGAGGAUUAGAUACCCUCGUAGUCCAUGCCGUAAACGAUGUGUGUUAGACGUUGGAAAUUUAUUUUCAGUGUCGCAGCGAAAGCAAUAAACACACCGCCUGGGGAGUACGACCGCAAGGUUAAAACUCAAAUGAAUUGACGGGGACCUGCACAAGUAGUGGAGCAUGUGGUUUAAUUCGAAGAUACGCGCAGAACCUUACCAACACUUGACAUGUUCGUCGUGACUCUAAGAGAUUGGAGUCUUCGGUUCGGCCGGACGAAACACAGGUGCUGCAUGGCUGUCGUCAGCUCGUGUCGUGAGAUGUUGGGUUAAGUCCCGCAACGAGCGCAACCCUCACUUUUAGUUGCCAUCAUUUAGUUGGGCACUCUGAAAGAACUGCCAGUGAUAAGCUGGAGGAAGGUGGGGAUGACGUCAAGUCCUCAUGGCCCUUAUGUGUUGGGCUACACACGUGCUACAAUGGCAUUGACAAUAGGAAGCAAGAUGGCGACGUCAAGCAAAUCCUAAAAAGAUGCCUCAGUUCGGAUUGUACUCUGCAACUCGAGUACAUGAAGCUGGAAUUACUAGUAAUCGCGGAUCAGCGCGCCGCGGUGAAUACGUUCCCAGGUCUUGUACACACCGCCCGUCACACCAUGGGAGUUGGUUCUACCUUAAGGCAAAGCUUAAAACCUUUGAUCACGGUAUAAUCAGCGACUGGGGUGAAGUCGUAACAAGGUAACCAA
rnacentral:rRNA from 1 species